UACAGAGGGGGCAAGCGUUAUUCGGAAUUAUUGGGCGUAAAGGGUGUGUAGGUGGCGCGCUAAGUCGGGUGUGAAAUUUCGGAGCUUAACUCCGAAACUGCAUUCGAUACUGGCGUGCUUGAGGACUGGAGAGGAGACUGGAAUUUACGGUGUAGCAGUGAAAUGCGUAGAUAUCGUAAGGAAGACCAGAGGCGAAGGCGGGUCUCUGGACAGUUCCUGACACUGAGACACGAAGGCCAGGGGAGCAAACGGG
rnacentral:rRNA from 1 species